AGUGGCGGACGGGUGAGUAACACGUGAACAACCUACCCUAAUGACCGGGAUAACACCGGGAAACUGGUGCUAAUACCGGAUACGCUCUGAAGGUGGCAUUACCUUCAGAGGAAAGUCGGCCUCUAUUUAUAAGCUGGCACGUUAGGAUGGGUUCGCGCCCCAUUAGCUUGUUGGUAGGGUAACGGCCUACCAAGGCUUCGAUGGGUAGCCGGCCUGAGAGGGUGGCCGGCCACACUGGGACUGAGAUACGGCCCAGACUCCUACGGGAGGCAGCAGUGGGGAAUCUUCCGCAAUGGGCGCAAGCCUGACGGAGCGACGCCGCGUGGGGGACGAAGGCCUUCGGGUUGUAAACCUCUUUUCUGAAGGGAGAACGUUCUAUCUGUAAAUAGCGGAUAGAGUUGACGGUACUUCAGGAAUAAGCCCCGGCUAACUACGUGCCAGCAGCCGCGGUAAUACGUAGGGGGCGAGCGUUGUCCGGAAUCACUGGGCGUAAAGGGCGUGUAGGCGGCUAGAGUAGUCGCAGGUGAAAUCCCACGGCUCAACCGUGGAACUGCCUGCGAAACCAUUUAGCUUGAGGACAGGAGAGGAAAGCGGAAUUCCUGGUGUAGCGGUGAAAUGCGUAGAUAUCAGGAGGAACACCAGUGGCGAAGGCGGCUUUCUGGCCUGGUCCUGACG
rnacentral:rRNA from 1 species